rnacentral:rRNA from 1 species
UACAGAGGGUGCGAGCGUUGUCCGGAAUCCCUGGGCGUAAAGGGCGCGUAGGUGGCGCUGCAAGUCGGUGGUGAAAGCUCGUCGCUUAACGACGAGUCGGCCAUCGAAACUGCAGGGCUGGAGCACUGUAGGGGCUAAUGGAAUUCCGGGUGUAGCGGUGGAAUGCGUAGAGAUCCGGAAGAACACCAGUGGCGAAGGCGGUUAGCUGGGCAGUUGCUGACACUGAGGCGCGACAGCGUGGGGAGCAAACAGG